ACACAUACACAGUCAGAGAGAGAGAGAGAGAGAGAAGCAGAGAGAGAGAGAGAGAAGUACGGGAAACGAGGGCAGGGAGGGAAACAGGAACAGAAAGUGAAGACUUGUCAAGAUGUCUAGGUGAGGGGCACCAGAGAAGAGCAGAAGCCAGAUGCCAAAACAGAAACAGUAGAAGUUUGAGCAGCUGACUGGAUCAGACAGGAGUGGAGAGCUGACCUGACACUUCACACGUGCCUGCGGGGUAAGGUACUGCUUUCAAAGAGAUCUUUAGAGCCAGCAACUUGGAGCACUUUGAAACUGUUUCAGGAGGUUUGUUUUGCUGUUGUGGGCUUUUUUGUUUUUGGUGAUUGGGUAAAAGAAGAGAGUCAAAGUCCUGCUACUUUUGCAAACUUCUUCACUGAAAAAAAUGUUCUGCCAGUGUUUGGAUUUGACACGUUGUUUGACAAGUUACAACGAAAUGCUAAUAAGUUUCUUCCUGCCUUUUGAGUGCAGUGGAGCUUCACUGUAACACUCCUUUUUAGACACUCUCUCGACUUUUUGGGAAACAUAAUUGGCCUCAAAGUGAAGUUUCUGAUCAGAAUAAGUUUUAGUUUAUUGUAAACUCUGCAGAUUCUGAAUCAAAAUAUUUCCCUACAGCUUGGUUAAGUUAAUAUUUACUUAUUUACUGAGGGAUAAUCCUUCUUCUUCUCUCACUGUUAAUACGAUAACAUCCGCUUUACAUAUUUCAAAUGGCACAAGCCUGAGCUGUCUUGGCUUGCAUUCUUGCUCAAUGUAAAGGAUUUAAUUCCUCCAGAUUAUCAGCUGUCCAAAGGUAAAAAUAACAGCAGUAACACUGACAAUGAAAAACAAACAAGUGUGGUCUUAAUCCGGUGCUUGUCUGAAGUCAAACUUUCCAUAUACUGCACAUUGAUACCAACUUAUGAGGUAUCUGGUCUGACUGUGCUGCUCGGGGCAACUCAUUAAAGAUUCCUGCCUCGCCUUCUGUCACAACUUUGUCUUUUAGGUCACACAUGGUCCCUAAAAAGCAGCAGGGGCUAAUGAGUGCGAUCAUAACAUUUUUCUCAUCCCCUUCCUGGCUUUGUGUGUCCCAGAAACAGCCUUUCCUGUAUAUGAAUGGCUUCAGAGAGCACAAUGUCAUGAGAAAGUGAAAGACCCAGACAGAGACACAGAAAGGCAUCCCAGUGAGAUGAUAUGAGCUAGGGAAAUAUUUGAAACUUGAGACAAGUUAUUUUUUUGUAUAAACAGAGGUAUAUAUCCUCUUGGCCUGUUAUUUCUUCUUCUUUGCACAAACACCCAAUCUGUCAUUAGCGAUAAUUCAUGCAGUGAUGAAGGCCUACAGAGAAAGAGGCACAAUCACACUGAAAAUCAAAGUAUUCAACUUAAAACAGCUUGAAUAUCCAAAUGGGAAUCUUUAAAUUUAACUCAAACGUUCCCAUUUCACCGACAUAUAGACAAAACAUACAGUGAUCUCAUUCCUUCUCCUUCUAUUCUGAUCAUAGUAAUAAUAACACUCAGUGACUUCUACCUUCCUUUUAAUGGCUUUGCUGGUGAUACAUUAUUAGUCAUCUACUCUGUGUAACUCUCCUCUGAGCUGUUCCUAGCCUUUUGUCUCUCUCUCCUGCAGACUUAUUGCUCAGUGACUCUGGUUUGUUGUGUUGAUGCUGUUUUCAUAAUGUGAGGGAGCUCAGGGUGUACACAGAGGUGCUGCUCAGCCAGCAACAACAUGUUCCUACUGUGGGGUAAAUCAAGAAUAAUGUGGCGGUGACACCCUGACUCCCAACUAUAAUUAGUCUUCAGAUUAGGUGUAAAUUAUGAGGUUUGAAUCCGAAAGCAGUGCAAAUGUUCAAUAAAAGAUAAUUAAAAGUAAAUUAACACAAGAUAACAUUUAGGUAGAUGCUCAUGUACAUUGUUAUUCUUAAUUUAGCCAUAGUUGAACCACUGACAAAGAGGAUGCUACAACAUAUACUAAUCCAUAUGAUGUUUUCACCCUCUGCCUGUGUUUCCCUUUUGUAACAUACAAACGUCGAAUCUGUUAACAGUGCUCUGGUUGCCAUUUGUGUACAUUAGUUGUCUGAGUGGUUUUGACGAAUCCCAUCUGCAGGAUAAUAUUCAGUGAGAAGAGUUAAAGAGCUAAAGCAGGCAGGACUAGAUCACUGUGGUGUUGUGACAUCCUGCACCCAUGCACUGUGGCCCGUCAAUGUAUUUAUCUCUAUAAACAGAAGUGCCACUGACAAGCUGUUCCUCACCAGAAAUGUUAACUUGAGACACAAAAUCUGCUUGAUGUCGUUUUUGCCUAAGCUCAUCAGCAGUUUGUUUUUCUGGAUUACAUCAGAAAUAACUGAUCUCACCUGUGUUUGACAAGUUAGCUAAGCAAAGAAAAAGUUUGCAUAUUUGUGAUUGUUUUCUUAUUUCGCCAAACUUAAAGCUCCUGUGAGGGACUUAUGACUUGUGUGUGCUGAGGAGCAAGUCUAUUGAAACCAUAGACUGUAUAUACUAUGGACAACCUAGUUCCGCCUCCCACCAGUAAACAGAUAUGAAACCAAAAAGCUCUCUGUAAUUCCCCGUUCUUUCUCAAUUUCCUGAAACCAAUAUUGCGCAGUAGUGUUGUACGCACUCCACCACUUGCACAGUAGCGUUGUAUGCAUUCGGUGGAAGAGUCGCUGAGAGUUGCUGUGAUGACGCUCGGCUCAAAAAGUGUAUCCCCCGGGUGAGCUAUGCAAUCUUCGUACGCCCAUAGGCUGUCCAUUCUAUAUCUAGUCUAUGAUUGAAACUUUCAAACACAAGCUUUAUGGGAAACAUAAUAAGCUCCUAACACUUAAAGCUCCAGUGAGUGACUUUUAGUUGUGUAAAUGUUAUCACUCCUUGUGGUUAUAUUGUCAAAUAUACUAGAGUUGUGAUGACAAAAAAAAAAUCAUACUCUGGUUUUAAAAGACAAAUAUAUCAUUCAUUAUGAAUAUUUAAAGUGCAUAUUUAAAAACAGAGCUGUUUCUUCAACCGUAUGGCUGACACCUACCCUUUUGAACUGGUUUCAGGGAUUAAAAAUUAGCAUACAAAAAUCUUCAAUCUUGUUGAUAAUAGUCUUGUUUGAUUUUGUGAGUCAUAAAAAAAAAAAACUAUAUGAGUUUUAGUCAUUUUCAUUAACAUAAAAAAAAUCUUCAUAGGAGCUUUAAAGCCAGUAAAUUUUCAGUAAUUUACGAGGAAAUAGGUUUUGUGUUUCAGAUUCACAUCAUUGAAGUCAGUGAGGCUUCUGUGUGCCCACUAGUGAACUGAGACCAGCCAGCUUUUGUAACACAUGAUUGGACGGUAGCCUGGGGGAUAUGAUGGAGAAAGAAAUCACAGCAUAUAUGAUGUAGACGUAAAUGAAGCACAGAAAAAUAAGUCAUGGUUGGGUGUUGUUGUUGCCACAGGCUAACACCUGGAUCGCUGAAAAGUCGGCACCUGUUCUCAAAUGCAUAUAUUACAAAUAAACAUGGAGGAGAACAUAUUAAACGCCUUUGGGUCUUAACUUUCUUUUAAUCGCUCACUGGAACAGAGGCUAAAAUUGUACUGCUAUUAGCAUCAGUGUACACAAUCCAGCUAUGCUUACACUGAAAUUCAAACAAAAUAACACUAACACCAACACUUUUUAAAACAAAAGUAACCAGAACAUCUCUGCAACAUUUCUAAUCUUCCUUUCAGAAAGUUUAAUUAUGUUCAUUUUGUUGGUUUUGUUUUAUCUCAGGUUUCGUGGAGGUAUGACAGUAAAGACUGAGUCAAAGUGAGACAAAGAUCUGACGCAUUUGUUGUUCACCAGAAUUAUGUCUUUCUUAUGUUCCCGCCCUUUUGGUGAUCUUUGACCUUUAUGCUUAAUCUAGUGUCACAUGGGUCAAAUAUAUCAAUGAAGCAUAAAAAUAACUCAGCGGACCUGUCGAUGCUUUGAUUGAGACAUACGGCUGCAUGUUGUUCUAAAUAGUUAUAGGGAAACAAAAAUACUUCAGUGUCCUAUCUGAAAAUAAAUAUGACAGCAUCAUAUGUGGUGAUUUCGCUCAGACUCUCGUCAGAUGAGACCGCAUCACACCUUGACUUUUUGGUCGCUAGCUUGAGGUGCAAAGCUUCCUGUUGCCUGUUGAGCAAAUGAAUCGGGAGGAAGUUAGCAGGCUUGUGUGGGUUAACUAACACAAGUAUACAGCCAUAUAAAACCAUAUUCACAGGUAACCCCCCCUCUCUGCAAAAGAAGCACACAGAAUGAGAUAAAAAUCUUUGCAGCUCCUGCAUCCAGCAUACAGAAGAGCUCAGUAGCUGAGAGCAAUAGAUAGUGUUCAGAAUGUUCUUGAGACAAAUCUUGUUUGAAGUCAUUUAAAAAACUAAAGUUAUAUGAUAUCAGUUAAAUGAAGACAUCCCUUCAAGGCCACUGACUUAAUCAAACCCCCCAAAAAAAGAAUUGUUACGACUUUUAUCUUGAAGACUGACUUCUUUUUUUCAGACCUCCCUUUCUAUUUGAGGCAGCUCACUCGGUCUUUUCUCCAGGAGGAGAGCAGGAGAUUUCAUCUCAGGCUAGAGGAAAAUGUUACCAUCAGACAUUCAUGAAAAGUUGAGCCAGGUCCCAUCCAUCUCCUCCAAUGGGAACUAUUAGACGAGUAUAUUCAGAUGAGUCCCCAGCAGCAGGUCUACCUCUCACCCUCCUCUCUUCCUUUUCUGUUCCCUGUCAGUCUUUCACACUCUCCGUCUCAACGGGACACUUAAAAAGAUUGGUGCCCUCUAUCUCUGUCUGGCCUCCCUUCAGACACAAUCUCCCUCCAUUUUUCUCUCUCUCUCCCGGUCUCUCUUUGCGCCCCUGUCUUCCUCAGCAGGACUCGUAGUGAGAGCUGCCCUGAAUCCUGAAUGACUCCCCUGCAGUAUUAAUGAGGAGAAAGCUGAAAAUCUGAAACUGACAUUGACAAGAGCUAGAGGAGGAGAGGGAGGCGAGAGUAGAGAUGUUAAAGACAGAGACAGAAAGAUGGAUUGGAGGCAAGGAAGGAAAAGAGCGGAGGACGUAGACGAGCUGUCUGCUAGAAAACCAAAUGUCUCUGCAUGUUCACUCUCUCUUUGUUUUUCUGUUCCACAGACACGCCAAAAUCGAACGUCUAUCUGAAAGCGGAGUAAACCAAGACGAAAGCCAAAGGGCAAGAGGAUAAGAGGAUUCUGGGGAAGACAAAGAGCAAGAAAACACUUUGAGAAAUGCCAAGUAGCAUAAACAAACUUGGCUGAAGUGCAGGUUUGGGCUUUUUCAUCCUGCAUCCAGAUCAGGAACAUUACAAGUGCAGGUUUUCAAAGCACGCUUUGCUGUUGACAAAAUAAGCUCUUGGAUUUGUUUAAAGAACAUUCUCGCUUUGAAAAUCACCUCAUGGGACUUGUGGAGGAAGGAAGCAGACUUGAGGUCACCCUCGAUUCUCCCUGUGUUCUUAUUUAACGAAAAACCACCCUGGAGCCUUAAAGGUAGAUAAAGCCGGGGCUGCUCGUGACACUGAUGAUUAAAAAUAGCUGAUGAUCGUUUGAGCUGUCUAAAAUAUCUCUGCUGACAGCUGUUGGAGCCGCUGAUGAACACUUAGAGAACUUCAAAGCUGGAUUCAGAUUACACAGAAGAACUUUUAUCUUAAAUUAACACCCUAUCUUAAUUAUUUCAGUGUCUCCAGCAGCCUUAUAUGCACAUUUACUGACUUUCAAACUUCACAAACCCUCCAAAGGAUUUAUUAAAACUUUACGACUACCAGACAGAGUUAAUUAAAAGGAGCCACGGCUCCGUAUCUGAACGCCAUGGAUGGAAAAACCGACAGCAUCCAGGAGUUUUUUAACCAACUCUGGAGCUUCGCCACAGAAAAACACAAUCAGGGGGUGUACAACACGGUCUGUCUGAUCGUCCUCCUGACUCUCCCCCUGAUCGUCCUCCUCACAACCCUGGUGGUGUGCUGUCACUGCUGCUGCUGUCGCCAUGCCAACAGCUGCUGUUGCUGCUGCUGCUGCUGCGGAGACUCUAUGGCAACCGCAAGGUCGGAAACAAAGAAGAAGAAGAACUCAACCAACAAUACGGAGGACCUGUGGAUCUCUGUUAAGGCGGAGCCAAUGACACCUGACCGGGUUGCUCUAGCCAUGGUGUAGAGUGCGGAUUUUUCUAUUAGUUUAAGACAGCUGACCUGACUUAAAAGACUUUUAACAGAGACUUUUAAAAGUCUCAAACUUUUUGGGACUCCAAGGAGGCUAAAGACAUUACUGAACGGAAUGAAAAAGACCUCCAAAGUGUGCAUAAUUGUUUAAAAAUAUGAAAACUGUGUACAGAUUCUUGUAUUUUUGUAUUCUUUUUAUGUAAAUUUGGGACAAUGUUUACAUUUUGUAUGACCUCUUCGCUGUUUGGUACAUUAUUGAAGAAAUAUGUUUUUGAAAAGGCUCAAACAAACUUUUGCAUGUAUAUAAAGAUGGACAUUGUGAUUCCACCUCCUCCCAUUGUAUUGAAGUGAAGCCAAAUAGCUCCAGAAGAUGGGCCCUGACAUCUUGCACCUGCAGGAGACUUUUAUUCGAGUCAGAGUCUGUGCAUUCGGGUUCAGCAGUGGUAUUGACAACCCAACCUUUUAGCUAAUGAAAUCAGACAUUUAACUUCCAGCCAAAACAGAUGAGAUCACUCUGGUCAGUAAAGAGCCAUACUGCUGCAGUCAGUACAGGAGCUUUAAAUCUUUGGCUUCAUCUUUUGUUAACUGUCAUACCUGCAAAUGUGUGUGUGUGUGUGUGUGUCCGUGUGUGUGGCAUUGGAGAGCAUGUGUGUGUGAGAUAGAGAGGAGUACAGUGUUAUUGAGAGCACUUUGUUCUCAGAGCUCCCUUGUGAAAUUCAUUGAGUCUGUAUUUGGGAAAGAGAGCCAAUUUAAGCUGUGCCCAUUGUUCAGACGGCUGUAAUGGUGUCUACUCUUCACACUCUGGGCUGGUGAUUGACUCUUUGAAAAGUUAAAGCCUCUGCCUUCCAAAAAGUUUCACAGGACACUGAGAGAAGACUUUUUUUUACUGUUACUUUACUUUUUAAAGAUUGAACAGUGUAGUUAGACGCACUUCUCUUCAUUUUGAGAGUGUUGUAUUCAGCUCCCGUGGACUUUCAGGUUGACUUCGUAGUCCAAAAAGUGAAAAAGAAAUUUGUUAUCUGUCCUAAUUCUUCUUUGAGUUAACAUUUGGGAAAAAUCAAUGUAAAAUUCAUCAUGUUUACCAGACCUGUAUUUAUUAAAUCCUUGCAUUAAAGUAAAGAAAGUAUAAGUGAAGAAACUGCACUUUGUUUAAAUGCUUCCAACAUUUCAUAACUUGGUCAAGUGAUAAACAUUUAUUUUUGCAACACAGACACAGACAAGAUACUUUUGAGGGAUUAUCCAUGUUUAAAACGACAUAUGGUUUUGGCUCACUAUUUGCAUUUUGAUUUGAGUCUGUUUGCGUUGGCAGGGAUGCAAACAGCACAAAGGACUCUGAAAUUGAUUCUGUCUGCGAUCCUUGUUUGCCGUCUUCACUGUGUGCACAUCAACAGCCUCCAUCAGCAAAUGCUUCUUCCUACAUUUUGGUUUUCUUUUUGUUUUUCAUUGUCGCCAGUUUUAGUCACUUCAUCCCUUUAUGUGACAAAUUAAAGCCCUUUUGAGGAGUUUUUAACUGGUUGUGAAACAGAUCGAAAUUUAUUCUGUUGCUUCUUUAUAACCUUCAGAAGUAAAUGAGAGCAUUAACAAUAAGACUGACAGUUUCUAUAUUUUAAUUUUCGAUGCCUGGAACUUCUGUGAGGAACUAGAUGUCAGACCAGACGAUUAACAGCCCACUAAAAAAAAUUGCCUUUUACUUUUCCGGGCAAAUAGUGACAUAUUUGACCAUUAAAACAAAAAAGCAGAAUGAGACAUUUUAUCAUAGCAGUACUUUGUUUGUACAGGACAAGGUCAGCACAUCGAUUAAGUCUACAUCUUAAAGCUCAUUUCUUACUCUCCUCUGACAUAACUUCUCAUCCUGCUGACUUUGGACAGUUAAGUGCAUCAUUUACUAUAAAUACUUCAGUUUAAACAGGGUACAAACAGAGCGGUGUCUUCAGCUGCUUGGCAGACACCUAAGAUGAACUUAAUAGAUCUCCAAAGGGAAAUUCAUUACCUACGCCCUCACAGUGGAUUUAGGCAUUACAAAUUGCAAUAUAAAUAUCAUUGAAGUUGUUGCAAACAGUCAGACUUGCUGUUAAUAAUCUUAAAAAUGGAUCAGUAUAGAUUUUUAUUCAGUUUUAUAAACACCAAAAACCCUCAAAGGAGCUUUAAAGUAAAGUCAAAUAAACCUCAGUAAUGUGACACACUGUAGUCACCACUCAGCCACAGAUCGGCCUGUAUUUCAAGUUUAUAUCACACUUCAUAUCCUAUAACAAUGCUAACAACAUUAGCAUACAGCCACUUCCUCGUUUCAAAAUCACACUUUCAGUAGGGAAAAGAGGAAAUGAAGUCUCAUUAUUGACUUCUUUGGACACUCUGGUGCUUUUGUCAGUGUCUACUUUCACAUCAUGUUAACAAGCCAAUGCAUGUUUGAGUAGUGUGCAGGCUGAUGGUGUUAUAGUUUAAUGAUUGACCCUGUGAACUGUCGACUUUCUGACUUUAAUGCUGACAGCUACACGAGCUUUUGCCUUAAAGGUGCUAAUAAUAAAACAAAGUCUCUCCUUGAACUGUAACACUGAUGUCCACACCUUCGUCAUUACAAGCUUUGAUUCAGCUGCAGGAUGAGGAAUUCAAGUUUGUGUGGCAGCAAUUUUUGUUAGCUUGAAAGUGGAAGUGGAUGCUAACCCUGGCUGUGUUUUGAUGUUAGCUAAUGGAUAUGACCCAGUGUCUCGCCGUGAAAUGACCAAUGCAUGUCAAAUAGUUAAAUUACAUACAAUGAUUUUACAUAAAAACAACACACGAGUUUGCUUACAGUGUUUCCUGCUUUAACAUUUCUAAAUGCAAGUUGUCACAAAAAAGGUUUAAAAAUAAGUUUUAAUCAACAUUUUUUUCUAUUUAAUCAGCAAACAAACCCUGAAAUGUUGGUCUUCAAGUGGAUUGUGCCUGAUGGUUGGUUUUCAUUUCUAAGUCUAUGACAUCCCAAAGCCCAAUUAAGCAGGAGUGUCUCAGUAGUACAUUCAUCUUUAUGCAUUAGCUUACGCUGGCACUGAGUUGAUCUCCUAGCUCAAGUGCUGCUGGGAAAACAGGCGCUGUUCAUUUCAUUACUGCUCAGACAGAUUCAUUCCCAUGUGAAAAUUUGGGAUUGUCUCUUCUGUUUCAUGUUCAGAGGGAGAAUCUCUUCUUGUUGGGGCUUAAUUUGGAGGCUAGCCCUGCAAAAGCCUCUGUAGCUACACAUGAUGACUAAUAAGCGCUUAUGCCUGAACUGAGCGGGUGCCAAAAAGUAACAUCAUUUACGAGUCUUGGAGUUGGCUGAACAUGUUAAAUAAAGAUGAAUGUGAAAUCGUGUGAAAGAGAUAUUUACAAUUAAGUCCUAUUCUGAAAUUUGAUUCAUGUCUCAGUGGAGAGGUGAAGUAAAGGCCAGUCGCUGUUAGCUGUAGUUUCGCAAAAAUAAGAACAGAAACUGAUGAGUCUGUAGAAUUAUUUCUCAGUUUUGAAAAGUUACAUAAGUUUGAUGAGUUUGGCCUCAAUAUUAAUAGCUGUGUUACUUCAUGUUCUGAGAAUAUCACUUCUGAGAGAGAUGUUCAAACUUUUGGGGCUUCCUGCAUUGCUAUAGCAUGUGUAGCAACAGAAACUUUAUUUGAUGACACUGUGUACUGUCCGACGAGCAACUUUGGAGGCGAGAAGAUACUUUGGGUCAAGAGGUGACUUUGGAGAAAGCUGAUUCACUGAUGGGCUCGAAGAUUCAGUACAGCAGAGUGUUUUCUGCUUCUUUUGUUCUCCACACAGAUUGAUUUCCAGUCUAGUUUUCCAGUGCUAGCAGGCCACACUAAUUCAACUUCGAUUUGGUUCUGCAUCGAGAAAACGUGUUUGUUUUUUAACAGGGAAAAAACUAUUUUUUCCGGACUUGAAGUUUGCACACUUGGCUAAAGGAGCUUGCAGCAGGUUUUAUCUCAGGCUUAUUUACAGAAAUGUGUACUGCAGUUUCUUAUCAGUACAUUAGGAGAUUAAAGCAUGCAGAAUAGCAACUUUUAGGCAGAGUCAGUGUCCUAUAUUUAUUUGAGAGUGUUGUAUCAGCGCCAUAUUUCUUUGGCAAAGCUGGGGAUAGUAUCCAUUUUCUAAUCUAGUUUUAAAUAUCUACAACACUGAGGAAGAAAUCUCUGAAGCUUUAUCUGACUUUAUGAGUUUUCGAUGCAAAUCUCGUGUCCUAUACAUGGGUUUACAAACCAAAUGGAAGACAAGCAUUAAGUUAUAUAAAACAUGUCAAAUAACUAAUUUUUGUAUUCUAUGAAAUGGUUAAGAUUUAGCCAUGGAUUCAUCAGAUUUACUGCUAAUUAAACACAAUUGCAAAGACAAAUAGGGCCAGACAUGAAUAUAAGAUCCUAAUGAUCCAAUUUAAAACCCAUCAAACAGCACUGUGAGUGUUUACAGUCAUGUUAAAUAAAAUAGAUAAAUAAUGUAAGCAUCAGCUGUUGAUACGAUCCUUUGGUUUCCCAUUAAGACAUUUACACCAUCCUCGCAUUUCUGCACAACACCUGUUAGGCGAUAGUUGCUGGAUUUUCUUUUAUCUGCUCUCACUUAGAACAUUUUUUUUUUCCUCCAGAGUUUGCCAGUCAGUAAGCGUCAAAACACAGAUGGUAUGAAAUAUAGCGCAUAAAUAUUUAUCUAAUUUUUUCCUUUCUGUUACUGCGAUCACAGGGAACAGAGCCCGGAGGAUUUAUCAUCUGUUUGAACUGAAAAUUUGCAGCCCUGCCCUGGAUAGUUUUCUUUACAGUAGCACCUUUUUUGAUCUUAUCCAAUUAUGCACGACAUCAAUGUUUAAUUUCUUUUUGCCGUUGUUGUUUUUCACUUGAAAAAAAAUGCUUAGAGGUUCUUUUUUUAUUAUUACAAGCAUGAAUGGCUCUGUUGGCAGCUGUGCAUGCAUAAUUUAUUCUGACAUAUAGAGACACAAUAAUAAAGGACGGCGCAAUGAGGAUGAUGACAGGGAGAAAAAAUAAAGUGUUUUAUUUUUUUUUCUACAGCUUUUUCAAUCUCAUCUGUCUGUUUCUAAAUCAGCAAAGCCAUAACCUUUUGAAAUGAAGUCAUUAUGUGUUAAUGUGUUUGAUAUUACGCUGGUACCCUCACGCACGAUUUCAACAUUAGCAGGUAAGAACUUCUUUUAAUUAAGAUAGACUGUUUACACAUUUGACUAAAACCCCAUGAAACAUAACUGACUCAGACAAAACGUGGUGCCAAAAAGCUGCAUCUAUGCUAGAAAAGCAUCUCCACAGAAUAUGACAUCUGUUUCGCACGGUUUGAAAUUGAACCUGACAUCAUUUACUGCAAUGAAUCAUGUUAAAUUAAUAUUCUUAAUGAAUCAGGAGGAUUUUUGGUAUAAAGUUUGUAAAUCUUAAACAAAACUGAAAGCAAGGCAAUUAAAAAAGCCAUCUGCCCCUGGUGGUCUUUAUGAACAUAUAAUUAUCAUCACCAGCUUGAUGGCCGUAGAAAUCUUUGAUGCAAGUAAUCACUUUGGCUUCAGGAUUAAUUCAUCUUUGACAAAUAUAAAGCUCAGACAUAGACUGGGAAAUUUUUCCAUCCCACAAUUCUUAACCUGAGGUGGAUACCGGCUGUUGUCAGAGUAUUUGCAUAACUUACAUCCCAGAAUAUAAACAACGUGUUUGUUUAUUUGAUUCUUUUAGGCCUAAGGUGUCUUUGAGAAAGAUAUAUCGUGGGUUUCUCUUGUCUUCUUUUUAGUGUGAUAUUUUGAGGGCGGAAAAAAGGGAAACCAACUCCCUGACAAAUUGUCUUUAUCACUGGAGUGCCUCGCCAAGGUGUGACAAAAUGUAAACAACGAUCACAGUGUUGACAGGAGUUUUUUUAGAUCCUAUUUUUCACGCCAUGAGUGAUGCUGGUAUCAGCGCACAUUUGUGACUCCAUCUAGCAUGAGAGCUACAGUACACUCAAGUCGCUUAUCUACUUUUUAUGACCACAAAGGCUCUUUUUUUCUAAAUCUAUUAAAAAUGUUUUGCCUCAUUUAUUUUGUGGGUCACAAACCAUAUCAAGAGUGAGUAUGUCCCAGUUGUGCCCAUUACACUCCUUGUGUCUCUUGACAGCAGAUUCUAUCACUAUCACACUCUAAAAACUCUUGGGUUAUUUAUCAACCCAAUUCCUGGAUUAUACGUGUCGAGUUAAAUUUCUGGGUUAUUUUUCAGAUCCAUACCCAUUUCUUGGGUCAUAUGGAUUCUAUUGUAACCCAGUUUGAGGGUUUUUUGAAUGGGUUAAUAAUUAUGGGUUAUUUUUCUGAGAGUAACCCAAUAAUUGGGUCAGAACGUUGGGUUUGAUUGACUCUACGUGGUUUCUAGGCAAGAUCCUUGGUGCUAUGGCCUACCUCAUAAACAUGAAAGCGUUACCAUUGAAGCCAAACCAAUUCCCACCAAUCACUUAGAUGAAAGUACAUGGGAAAAUAAGGUACAGGUUGUAAAAGCAAAGCUCCCAAAAAAAGCUCCCCAAAUGCAUAUAACAAUUCAACCCAAGAUCAUGAGUCAAAUUCACUCGAAGAUUGGGUUAAUUUGGAUAACCCAACAUCCUGAGUCAAAAUAACCCAAUAAGUUGUCGGCCCGUUUUCAACCCUAGUGUUGGGUUAAAAACAGCCCAAGUUUUGGGGGUUUUCAGAGUGCAGUACCAUCUUUGUGUUUGAUAGUGAUUUGUAAGUGUCUUGACCAAGGACACAAACGGACAGACUUGGGAUAGGGGGGAAUCAAACCGCCAACCUUCCAGUUAUUGGACAACUGCUCUACCUUCUGAGCUACUGCCGCCCCUGCAGUAGCUCAACUUCAUUGUGGUGCACUGUGCUCUUAGGGCUACUCUAUAUUCUUACAUCUAUAUAUUUAGCCAGUUUAGCAGGAAGAAAACACUGGUUAAUAAUUGGGUUUGAACAGCAACAAACCAGACAGGGAGCUUUUAAACCUCAAGAAAAAUAAAACAAUAAGAAAAUACUUGUUGGGACUGUAUUUCACUGGUAAGGUUUGAUGGGAACACACAUCCUCACUUUGACCGGCUGGUGAAAACACGAAAAAAAAUUAAGAUGAUGGGGUGUCACUUCUUGUAUCAAUAUUAUUCAGAACAGAUUCAUACAAACCAACCAAAGUUUGUCAAGCUAUUUUACUUUCUGCCUGAAAUAUCAAAUACUUAACAUCAAAGUGUUGCUACAAUGGUAACAUCAGGGGGUCAACUAAAGCUCAGACUGUUUUUAGUAGGACCAGACAUAACACUGUUGAAGUACUAAAGAGCUGCUCAUGAUUUCUAAUCUGGCAUGUAAAAAUAGAGUAUAUCUUUUUACUUUGGAGUGUUUUAAAAAAGAUAAGUAUGGCAAAAACAACAGUAAAACUAUGAACGAGCAAUAUUCAUCAUUUCAACCUCCAUAACCUUAGAAAUUUUAGCAGUCUGUUGGUGAAUACUUGUUCACAGUCUUCUUUGUCAGUUUGUUUUGUUUAAGUUUCAGAUUUGUGCUCACUAACAUUACACAUGGUGACAAGAAUGACAAUAAAGACCUUCUGUAAUAUAUAUUUUUUGUUUUUGAGACCUACGGCAGAAAUAAAAUCAUCAAAAUUUCCGACAACCCGGCAAUUACUGUUAAACAAACCAUUUCAAUAGUAUUCAUAUGAGGGAGAAAUGUAGUGGUAAAGCUGUCUGAAGUGUGAGAAGGAAAGGCAAUUACCUAAAAAUGAGUUUUAGAAACAGAAAAGAAAUAAUAAUGAAUACAAAACAGUAUGAUGGGUGCCUAAAACAACAGAGAAAUAAAAAAGGAGGAUCAUCAAAAGUGAGCAAUAUCAGC